rnacentral:tRNA from 1 species
AGAGCUCAGUGGUAGAGCACUUGCCUGGUAUGUGCAAGGCCUGGGUUCAAUUCCCAGU